GAUAUAACCCUAGAUAUAAACAUUGAGACUCGAUUAUUAAACAUUGAGACGCCGCAUCGUUGAAGAAGAGAGAUUGUUGGAGGCAUGGUUGAGACGAGACGUCACAGCGAUUUUGCGCUUCUUCUCAGGAAACAAUAUAAUCACAACUUACCAACAAGACAAAGGAGUUUACUCCAGCUGUUGGGAUUAUACAGAGUCAGAUUUGAAGCAUAUGGCCUAAAAAAGGUUUUGGCGUACAUGUAGAGCAUACCAGGUAGAAGAAGAAAGUGAAGAACAGAUGUAUAAUGAAGAGACCGAGGAAACCGUGGGAAGCAUCUCGAGAUGAUGAGAGCUGAAAUUGAUGCUAAUCAGAAGAGAUAUGAGUUUGAAACUAAAGGAGAUAAUGGUGAUUACGAAUGACACACCCUUUUUAUUAUAUUUCAUUUCUUCAUGCUUGAGGUUUUAUAUAAUCUUUUCUCUAGACGGAGACGGUAUUGACUUUGGCACUAUGGUUGUUUUGCAGUCCAGAAUUAUUAGUGUGUGAUUCUCAAAAGAAAGUGUGAAGCUAAUCAUACAUUAUUAUUUGUUCAGUAAUCCUAUUUUUGCAGAACAGAGGUCAUUAUGAGCUCUAUUCAUCGGUAUGAAAUAGGUAAUUUUCGAUCUAUCUUUUUUUUUUUUUCUCAAAUGGUUUUGAUUUUUAAAUGAGCAAAAUAUCAAUUUUAAUAAUGCCAACGAUCCCUAAUUUGAGAUCCUUCAUUGUUUUCUUUUUACUUAUCUAACACAUAUUUGCAAAUAUGAUACAUAUAAAUCACAUUGUUGCUCUAAAGGUUCUUUUUAUGAGCUCAAAAUAGAAGUUAAGUAAGGUAAAUGUUUUUCUUUUUUAUUGACUAAUAAAAUUAUCCAAACUUUUGGCCAUGUAACCAGCUUGCAUAUAACACACUUCUUUUGUUGCAGAACAUAAACUAACCUCUUUUGUUGCAGAACAUAAACUAAGAUAUGCAAAUAUACUAGAGACGAUGACAUGCAACAGUACAGUUGUACUAACAUUAUAUUAUGGGUUUGGUGGUUCUGAUCCACAAAAGUGCAUCAUCUAUUGAACUGCAACAUAUGGAGAAGGAAUAAACAUGAGAAGAAUUGAGAAAGUUUGAAUAGAACAAUACAGUAGAAGAGAAGCAGAUAAGUAGAAAUAGUGAAGGUGAUCAGACAGCCAUGUAAAAGCUCCACUUCUUUUGUGAGCAUUUGUUUUCUCAUGAUGUAUGCAAGUAACACUUGCCAAGUAUAUUAGCUGCAUGUGUGUUUCUUUUAGAUGAAUUUGGUAAUACAAAUCCCACAUGCUUUACUUAAACUUAAUAAUAUGUACUUAUAACACAUUCUUUGCAAAUUCCCUGCAAAGAUAUUUAUGUAA